GCGUUUGUGGUUUAGUGGUAAAAUCGUUGCUUGCCAAGAUCUCUUGACUAUUCGAGAACUUGAUCACUUGCAAUGGCCCCGGGUUCGAUUCCCGGCGAACGCA
rnacentral:tRNA from 1 species